AUUCGGUGGUUUUCUGCAAUUCACUCACCAGAAAACUUCAUUUGAAUUUGAGCGUGUGCACCUCGAACUUGCAUUCAUCAAAAUCAAGGGUAGGAUCCUUCUUGAUCCAUGUCGGGUGCAUCCAGAAGCCGAGUGUCGGGCGCAACCCCGACGCUCUACGGAUUGACAGGCUGGCAAUCGGGUGGGCGCUGGACCUGUACCCUCACCACGUCGCCGGGAGGACUCUCGGCUCACCAAAGUGACGAAAGCACUGCCCAGGUAGCAAACUGGCGGAGAACCAUUUUGGCCGGCGGCUUAGUGCGCCUUGAGCAGCAGGCGCCGAACUGACGGAUCACCCCCUGCGCUCAGGGUGUUUGAUGAAAUGCCGCUUGAGGUUAUCUAACUGAAGAGCAGGUUCCAUCACACCAGAAGUUUCCCAGGCGAUCGUCCCCAUGUUUCAUCUGCAGACCCCCUCUGUACUAGGAUAUCUCAUUUCCAGGUUUGUAUUUUCUUGUUGGCAUUUCUUUUUUUUUCUAUUGAUACACACUGAAAUGUGGAAUGUUUUCUAAAAGGUAAAACAUGUGGAAUGUUUCUUUUCUGUGAUCUUUACGCAUGUACAUGUUCAUGAUUAUUUUCUGCACCAAAUACUCUGAACUGGUUGUAUUACGUAAUUUCAGGUAUGAAUCUGAUCAAUACAUGUGCAAUGAAACCAUUAGUCGGUCUGUCGUAUUUAUUUCAGUUGUGGUUUCUGUGCUGGUGGUGACUCUACUUGUGCUUUCAUAUUCGAUCUGGACAGAAAAUAAAACUUAAUAACGUGUGUGCUCUUAUAUUGCUAUAACAUGUAUUAUUGAUUAUUAAGGGUUUACUGUCUUGCUAUUUAUGCUAUAUAUCUUUUUUUAGAAUAAUUUAUGCUAAAUAUCUGACAUUUGUGCCACCAGUUUCUACACAAGAUCCUCCCAGAGUGGAAAAGGUCAGAAAAUUUUCAUGCGAACCACCUGCAAAAUAAUACGAAUUUCCGGUUCACACCACUUUGACCUGGAGAAGUUUAUGAAUAAGUUCUAAAGUUUCAUUGGAGAAGGAGCAUUUGGGCUACUAUACUAUGGCCGUUUAGAAGAUGACACUAAGCAUGCUGUCAAGAUGCAUUCUGAAUCUGUCUCACUCUCGCAUGGAAUUGAUGAGUUUUUAGCAGAGUUGCCAAAUUAUUAACUUUACUGUCAGGGCCCUCUACUGCUGUUUCAGUUAAAAAGAAGUUACCAAAUUGUGCACCUAAAAACUUCAUGAUUUCAGGAUCUUGUCGACCUUAAUAAAAUUUACUGUUGAGGCCUCCCCUACAGUUUCAGUUCAAAAUAGUUAUAAAAUUAUGCACCUAAAAAAGUUCAAGAUUUCAGAAUCUUCCAAUGGUGUAUGUGUCAUACAUAGGACAACUUGUCAUUUCUCCUCGGGUGAGAAACAAUUGAAGUUUGUAAUGUAGGCUCAGCGAGUUGCAUUUGCAGUGAGAUUACUGAAACAUUAAGAGAUUUUCUUUAUGUUCUUUGUGCCCACUAUACUUGGAGUCUAAUCAGGCACUUAAAUGUUCAGUCUCUAUAUAAUCUGAAUGCUGAAAGGGUUACUAGUAAGUGAUAUUUUCUGUUUGUAAUUGACAUCUAUGGUCCAUUGACACAGUUGAUCAAAUUAGAUAAUUUCUUGCUACAUUUCAUAAAACUGAAUUUUCAUGAAUGCUCAUUUUAUUUUUCAGGCAUCUGCCAUUGUCUAUCUCUGCAGCUUGAUAGUAUCUCCUGUUACACGUCUGAGUAUCUAAGUUUAAAUUACUAUUUUCUUCCUCAACUCAAUGAAUUUUUUUUUGACUAUGUCAAUGAGGGUUUUUUUCUUUGGAGGAACCAACUCAAUGGAAUUCUACACUGUUUAUGGGAGACUAGAUGGUUGAGUUGACCAUUAUGUCUCCGCUGGAGCAAUGCUUUGGAUAUUGUCCGGUGUUAGGAUUGUUUUUUUUACAACUUCAUAAUUUAUGCCCCGUCAGUCGCAAUAGGAGCUGCCAGUGCAUUUAUGACGGUCAGUGGUAUCGGCGAUGGAAGGCGAUUUAGUAGGAGAAGAUCCAAAUGGUCGUGCUUUUAUGUGUGGCUCAAUAAUAAUCAUGUGGCAUGCCUUAAUGCCUUUGUAUAUUCUGAAGUCCCAUCUUAGAGCUCAUCAUCAUCAUCAUAAGAGAAUUUAGUACUCUUAUUACAGUAUAAUGAGAGUUCUAUUUUUGCAUGGCAGGAAGCACCAAAGAUGAGGGAGAAUCCUGCGAAGACCUCUAGUGGAGGCAGAGCGUCUUCUUGAGUACUAAUUCUUGCUGGUAGCGCUUGCACUGCAGAUCAUCACUCAUGUACAUGUUCCAUGGAGCUAUUAACAACCUGCCACGUGGGAAAACAAAUUCAGACACACAUGAUCGAUUGGUUCCCUUAUACUAUAUAUAGUCUGGAUAAAUGUUAGAGGGCCAACAUAGAAGGGCACUCAGCAAGAUUUUGAGUAUAAAUUAGAAGUAGCACAGAAGUUGAAACCUACUAAUAGUCAUACCUCAUAUGUAGCUGUAUAAAUUCAUAACCUUGUAACUGUUAAUGUAGCUUAAUCACAUUGUUACAAAUACAGUGUGGUGUUUACUUAGGGCUUUGUUUUGCAUGAUUGAUUUCACCAUCUGGUUUCCAGAUUAGGGACUGAAAACAGGAACAAAGCCUUGUCUGCUAUCAUGUGCUAUUUUUGGCAGAUUAGGCAGUUGGUUUCAUCCCUCAUAGCACAAAGCUAGAAUGUUAACUGAAAGCCAGCGGCUUGCAUGUGAUGUGUGUUUAGUUAGUGCAAGUCGGUGGAGACAAGGCAAGUUGAGGUUUUAGGAAAAGACAAAAAGGUAGAGUGGAGUCGUUUCAUUCUUUUCUGGUUUCGUUUGGAAGACCAUUUCAUCACGAAUUUUGUUUUUCAGGCACCUGCUAAUGCUAUUGUCUAUGUCUGCAGCUUGAUGAUAUCUGUCAUGUUAUCUACUUGCAUUUUAAUGUAUCUCUUUUCUUCCUCAACUUAGGAAUUCUAUGAGACAAGAUGGCCGAGUUUCUGUUAACUCUUUUUUUUUACUUCUUGAGGGGGCAAUGCAUUGAAUAUUGUUUGGUGCUGGAACUCUUAUUUAUCAAGGAUAGUGCACAACUUUAUGCAUGCCUAAUGCCUUGUCAAUCACAAUUGGAUCUAGCAAUGCACAUAUGAUAGUUUGUUCUUUUGAAAGGGUAAAUUUAGUACAACAUCAUGGUAAAAUUUAGCUGUUGAUAACUAUAUGCCUUGCUGCAAGUAUUUCAUAGCCCUCGUGUAGAUAUGCAACUGAACUUUUCUACAUGUUCUAUCUUUUUGCACUUUCCCUUGCUCACAGGUCACAAGUAAUCACCAUGGAAUAUGUUUUAGCUGUGAAGGUAAUGUAUGUUACUUGGCGCUGAUGCAUCAUCAUGACAAAUGGAAUUUGAUACCCUUGCAGUACAAUGAGAGCUUUAUUUUUGUGUGACAGAAACUCAGAAAGUAGCAAGAUUAGCGAGAAUCAUGAAUUUGCAUCUGGCUAUUUAGUUACGGGAGACUCGGUUUGGGGCUAGGUCCAGUCGUCUGCCUGCUGCUUUCGGCCGCGAUAGUUUAUAGCAUGGAGUCAUGAACCUCCUGAGGCCUCCAUUGGUUUGGAGGAAUUUUAUAGGAAUUCUGCGAGAUAGGAUUUUUAUAGGAAAAAUUCCUUUACUGUUCUUUGGUUUGUAUGAUUAGGAUCCUAUUUGUAUGAAGGAAUUCUCCCUAUUCUUCACAUUUCAUAGGAAAAUAAACAUUAACCUAGACCCAAUGAAAAAAUUCCUAUGAUGUAAACCAAAGGACAUCUCUCUUCGUAUUUCUAUUCAUAGAAUUUGAGAUGCAUGACAUCUCAUUUCAUAGGAUUUUUAUAGGAAAAAUUCCUUUACUGUUCUUUGGUUUGUAUGAUUAGGAUCCUAUUCAUAUGAAGGAAUUCUUCCUAUCCUUCACAUUUCAUAGGAAAAUAACCAUUAGCCUAGACCCAAUGAAAAAAUUCCUAUGAUGUAAACCAAAGGACAUCUCUCUUCGUAUUUCUAUUCAUAGAAUUUGAGUUGCAUGACAUCUCAUUUUCUGCAAGUUUCCUAUUCCUAUGAUAUUCCUACCCCUGUGAACCAAAGGACCUUUGAGUUUUUGAAGAUCUCUGCUGCACUGCAGCGUCUUGUUGCGUAACUCUUGCUGUCAGCACUUGUACUGUACAUGUUGUGUGGAAACAAAUUCAGAGAUGUAAUCUAUUCACUUUUACUGUAGAGCCUGGAUAAAACUUAGAUGACGAAUCGGAAGUACAAAUCGAAAGUAGAAACUUGCUAAUGGUCGUACAUAACUGGUGGAACAGCCUUGCCUGCCAGCAUACGCGAUUGCGUGACAGAUUAGGCAGUUGGUUUCACCCCUCGGUGUACAAAGCUAGAAUGUUAACUGAAAGCCUGUGCUCUUGCAUGCUCUGUGUAUUUAAUUAGUGUAACUCCAUGGAGACAAGGCAAGUUGAGGUUUCAGGAAAAGACAAAAGGGCAGAGUGGAGGCCGUUUCAAUCUUUCCUUGUUUGGCUUGGAAGGCCGUUUCAUCACGAAUGCUUGUUAUAAAAAAUCAAUCAACAAUUGUUGCCUGGCAAAACAAAGCUCAAUAAUUUGGUAUCGAGGCUGCAUUCAGCUUCCACUAGCUAAGGUUUAGUCGGGAAGAAAUC